GCGGUGGCUCAUGCCUGUAAUCUCAACACUUUGGGAGUACGAGGUGGGCAGAUCACCUGAUGUUGGGAGUUUGAGACUAGCCUGACCAACAUGGUGAAAUGCUGUCUCUACUAAAGAUACAAAAAUUAGCUGGGCAUGGUGGUGGGCGUUGUAAUCCCAGCUAUUUGGGAGGCUAAGGCAGGAGAAUUGCUUGAACCCAGAAGGCAGAGGUUGCAGUGAAUAAAGAUGAUGCCAUUGCACUCCAGCCUGGGUAAAAGAGCGAGACUCCAUCUCAAAAAAAAAAAUUUAGAAAUAAUGAUACAUUCUGUUGAAGUUGCAAAAAUAAAGUACCAAGGUUCUGUGAAUAAUUUAUGCAGUUUUUGCAUAACUAUAGUACAAUAUCAAAAGGAGAAAAUUGACACUGGUACAAUCCACCAAUUUAAUUAAAAUUCCUUCAGUUUUAAAAGCACUGAUUUCUGUGUGUGUGUAUGUGUGCGUGUGUGUGUGUGUGUACUGCUAUGCAAUUGCAUUGCACACACACACAAAUAAUUCAUUACACGAAUUGCAUGUGUAGAUUUGUGUAACGACCACUACCAUGGAGAUUCAGAAUCAUUCCCUCAGCACAAAGAGCUGCCUUCUAGCCUGUUACAGCUCCCUCUCCCCAACCUUGUCUCCUUGGCAACCAGUAAUCCCUUCUCCAUUUCUGUAAUUGUGUUAUUUCAAGAAUGGUACAUAAAUGGAAUCGCACAGCAUAAAACCUUUGAGAUUGGCUUUUUUUUCCACUCAGCAUAAUUCCUUUGAGAUCCAGCUAAGCUGUUGCAUUUAUCAUAUGGAGGUACCACCAUUUAUUUAACCAUUCACUCACUGAACGACAUCUGGGCUAAUUAGUUUUUGGCUGUUAUGGAUCAAGUUGCUAAAGCCAUUCCUUGUACAGGUUUCUGUGUGAACGUAAGUGUUCAUUUUGCUGGGAAAGAUGCCCAGGAAUGUAAUAUCGGGUAGUAUGGUAGUUGCAUGUGUGGUUUUAUGAGAAACUGUCAAAAUAUUUUUUCCAGUCUGUAGCUUGUCUUUUCAUUCUCUUCAAAGAGUCUCUCUCAGGCAAACAUUUUUGGUUUUGAUGAAGCCCAAUUAAUCACAUUUUCCUUUUAUGGAUUGUGAUUUUGUGUCACGUAUGUCACUUUGUCCAGUCUGAGGUCAUGAGGAAUUUUAGGCUGGGGGUGGUGACUCAAGCCUGGAAUCUCAACACUUUGGGAGCAAAAGGAUGGCUUGUGCUCAGGAGUUUUAGACUAGUCUGGGCAACAUGGUGAGAGAGACCUUGUUUCUAUAAAAAGUACAAAAAAAAAAUGAGCCAGGUGUGGUAGUGCAUGCAUACCUAUAGUCCCUGCUACUGAGGAGGCUGAGGUGGGAGGAUUGCCUGAGCCAGGGAGGUUGAGGUUGCAGUGAGCCAAGACUGUGCCACUGCACUCCAGCCUGGGUGACAGAGUGAGACCCCGUUUCAAAAAUAAAUAAAAUAAAAUAAUAAAAAUAAUAGUGUACUCUAUUGCCAAGAUUUCUGAUCAGCUUGUGAUAUUUUCCUAUGCUACUCUUAUCUCUAAAGCAAAACCUAUUUUUAAACCAAGAAUGCUUUUUGUUCUUAAAGUACUAGGACAUUUCCAUAAGUUCUGGGUCUUUAUUCAGUUAACAUUAUAUCCUUGUUCCUUCAACCAUGAAUAUCUUGUGAUCAAGAGUGCCCAACCCUCAGGGAAUGUAACCUAGCAGGUUUGACUUUUUCUGGCCUUUAUUUUUUUUGAGACAGGGUCUCGCUUUAUCACCCGGGCAGGACUGCAGUGGCUCAAUCACAGCUCACUGAAGCCACGAUCUUCUCCCGGGCUCAAGCAAUCCUCUUACCUCAGCCUCCUUAGUAGCUGGGACUAUAGGUGCAUCCCAUCAAAGCUGACUAAUUUUUGUAUUUUUUGUAGAGAGAGGGAUUCACCAGGUUGCUGAAGCUGAGCUUGAACUCCUGGCCUUAAGCCAUCCUCCCACCUUGGCCUCCCAAAGUCCUGGGAUUACGGGCAUGGGCCACUGCACCCCACCCUUUUUACCGUGUUGUCUUCCAGCUUCCAGUCCAUGAACAUGAGAUGUCUCUCUAUUUAUUUGGAUCUCCUCUGAUUUCUUUCAUUUAUGUUUUAUAAUUUUUUUUUUUUGAGAUGGCGUUUCACUCUGUCGCCCAGGCUGGAGUGCAGUGGUGCAAUCUCAGCUCACUGCAACCUCCACCUCCCGGGCCCAAGUGAUUCUCCUGCCUCAGCCUCCCAAGUAGCUGGGGUUAUAGGCGUUCGUCACCAUGCCCAGCGGAUUUUUGUAUUUCUUAGUAGAGAUGGGGUUUCACCAUGUUAGCCAGGCUGGUCUCGAACUCCUGACCUCAGAUGAUUCGCCCGCCUUGGCCUACCAAAGUGCUGGAAUUACAGGCGUGAGCCACUAUGCCUGGCCUAUAUUUUGUAAUUUUUAACAUACUGACCCUGUACAUGUUUUGUUAGCUGUAUCCUUAAGUAUUUUAAUUCCUUUGGAGCAAUUGUGUAUGGUAGAAUUCAGGAUCCAAGAUGGCCGAUCACUAACAGCUCGGGAUUGUAGCUCCCAGUGAAAGCUCAGAGAACGAGAUGGCGCCACACUUUUAGACGAAGUUUCGUCACUUACGGAUCAGCCGAUUCCCAGUGGAGGAGCCCCAUGGGUCGCCAGCGCGACUCUUGUGGCCGCCGCAGCGGUUUUGCCGGCGUCUAGGCGCAGCAGCUCCUCAUGCAGAGCAAACGGGACUGCUUCCCCUACUGACCGGAGUUUGGAGCUCUGGGAAAUCAGAGCCGCUUGUUGCAGACUCAAGAGGGAAGCCAGACCAGAGAUUCCCGGGCAGAAGAGCACCAUCAGUUUUAUCGCUGCUAUUUAGGCCGCCACAGUGGCUUGCUCGGAUCCCAGCACUGGGAAUCAAUAAAUCGGACGUCGACUCAGAAACCUAAUUAGAAAGGCGGUUCAUCUACAAUGAAGGGAAAAAACAGCCUAAGAAGGCCGAGUAUACCCAAAAUCAGAACCCAUCAGCAACGGAACAAGCCCUGAUGGAAAAGGACUCAUCAGCAACGGAACAAGCCCUGAUGGAAAAGGACUCAUCAGCAGCAGAACAAGUCCUGAUGGAAAAAGACUGUGUUCCAUUAUCCGAAGUAGGCUUUAAAAGGUGGAUGAUAAGAAACUUCUGGGAGUUAAAGGAACUUGUUCUAACCCAAUGUAAAGAAACUAAGAACUUUGAAAAAAGGUUCGAUGAAAUGAUGACAAGAAUAGACAAUAUAGAGAGGAAUACAAAUGAACUUAUGGAGUUGAAAAAUACAACAUGAGAACUUAGUGAAAUAUGUACAAGCUUAAAUAGCCGAAUGGAUCAAGCAGAAGAAAGGAUAUCAGAGGUCGAAGACCAAUUUGAUGAAAUAAAACGACAAGAAUAGAGAAAAAAGGAUAAAAAGGAAUGAGCAAAGUCUUCAAGAAAUAUGGGACUAUGUGAAAAGACCUAAUAUAUGCUUGAUUGGUGUACCUGAAUGUGAUGGAGAGAAUGAAUUCAAGCUGGAAAAUAUUCUUCAGGAUAUUAUCCAGGAAAAUUUUCCUAAUUUAGCAAAGCAGGACACUAUUCAACCCCAGGCAAUACAGAGAACACCACAAAGAUAUUCCUCAAGAAGACCAACCCCAAGGCACAUAAUCGUUAGAUUCACCAGGAUAGAAACAAAGGAGAAAAUAUUAAGGGUAGCCAGAGGGAAAGAUCAGGUUACCCAUAAAGGGAAGCCUAUUAGGCUUACAGCAGAUCUCUCAGCGGAAACCCUACAAGCUAGAAGAGAGUGGGGGCCAAUAUUCAAUAUACUUAAAGAACAGAACUUUCAGCCCGGAAUUUCAUAUCCUGCCAAUUUAAGCUUUACAUUUGAAGGAAAAAUAAAAUCUUUUAGGAACAAGCAAGUACUCAGAGAUUUUAUUACUACCAGGCCUGCUUUACAAGAACUUCUAAAAGAAGCAUUAUACAUAGAAAGGAACAACCAGUAUGAGCCUUUCUAAAAAUACACCAAAAAGUAAAGAGGAUUAACAUAAAGAAGAAUUUACAUCAACGAAAGGAUAAAAUAGCCAGUUAAUAUCAAAUGGCAGUAACCCUAAAUUUAAAUCGACUAAAUCCCCCAAUCAAAAGAUACAGACAAAAUCUAACGGUAUAUCUAAAGAUAUACAAAGACUCAAAAUAAAGGGUUGGAAAAAAACUUACCAAUUAAAUGGAGAGCAAAAAUAAAUAAAAAGCAGGAGUUGCAAUUCUCACAAUUAAUAAAAUAGAUUUCAAAGCUAGAAGGAUACAAGGGUAAAAGGAUUAAUGUAAUAAUAAGAGAUCUUAACACCCAGAUACGUAAGAUCCAUAAUGAGAUUUAGAUUUAACGAGACAGAAAACUGAUAACGAUAUCCAGGACUUGAACUCAGAUCCAGAACAAAUAAACUCAAUAGAGCUCUCCAUUUUAAACACACAAAAUAUAUAUUAUCCACUUUAAACACACAAAAUAUUGAUCGGCCAUUAUUGAUACCCAUUUUAGGAAUGAAGUAAUAUUUCUUUUUCCCUUUUUUUUCUCUUUUUCCCUCUUUUUUCCUCUUUUUCUUUCUCUUUCUUCUUAAAAAAAAAUUGUGUAUGGUAUUGUGUUUCAAAUUUUGGUCAUAGUAUAUAGAAAUGCUAAUGACUUUUUUGUGUUCCAAUAAAACUUUAUUUACAAAAACAGUGGUUCACUGAGCUCAGGAGUUCAAGACCAGCCUGGCCAACAUGGUGAAACCCGGUCUCUACCAAAAAUACAAAAAUUAGUUGGGCAUGGUGGCGGGCACCAGUAAUCCCAGCUACUCUGGAGGCUGAGGCAGGAGAAUCACUUGAACCCAGUAGGCAGAGGUUGCAAUGAACCAAGAUCCUAUCAUUGCACUCCAGCCUGGGUGACAAGAGCGAAACUUCGUCUCAAAACAAAAACAAAAACAGUGGCCCAUAUCUGGUCAUAGGCCAUGGUUUGCUGGGCCCUACUCUAAGAGAACAUAGAAAAACUUGGCUGGGCGUGGUGACCCACGCCUGUAAUCCCAGCACUUUGGGAGGCAGAGGCGGGUAGAUGACCUGAGGUCUGGAGUUUGAGACCAGCCUGGCCAACAUGGCAAAACCCUGUUUCUACCAAAAAUACAGAAAUUAGUCAGGCGUCAUGACACAUGCCUGUAAUCCCAGCUACUUGGGAGGCUGAGGCAGGAGAAUCGCUUGAACCAGGGAGGCAGAGGUUGCAGUGAGCCAGGAUCAAGCCACUGCACUCCAGCCUGAGUGAGCGAGAUUCCGUCUCAAAAAAGAAAAAAGGAAGAAAAAAGAAGAAAGGAAAGAAACAGUAUGGUUAAUUUUAGGCCAGAGUCACAUAGGCUAGCACAUAUCUCCACGACUAAACCAUAUCAAUUCUGAAUCCCCCCCGUUUUUUUUUUUUUUUCUGAGACCGAGUUGCCCAGGCUGGAGUGCAAUGGUAUGGUCUUCGCUCAUUGCAGACUCUGCCUCCUGGGUUCAAGUGAUUCUCCUGCCUCAGCCUCCUGAGUAGCUGGGAUUACAGGCAUGUGCUACCAUGCCUGGCUAAUUUUGUGUUUUUGGUAGACACGGGGUUUUUCCAUGUUGGUCAGGUUGGUCUCAAACUCCUGACCUCAGGUGAUCCGCCCGCCUCAGCCUCCCAAAGUGCUGGGAUUACAGGUGUGAGCCACCUUGCCCAGCCUGAAUCCCUUUUAUAUAUCUCCUCAUCAAAUGAAAAUAAUCUCUUUGAUUCUUUUUCCCCUGGAUGAAACCUUUAGCUAGCUGGAAGAUCACUCAUGGCCAGAAAUUCAAAUGUGGGGACCAUAGGCUGUUGGCCCCCUAAAGGUUCUUUGAAAAUCACUGACACGAGGUACGUGGAUUAACAGGAGACAGGGCAUCCAGAUGUAUUUAACCUAUGUACAUGGGAGCCUCCUUAAAUAUCACUAUGAGGUUACAGAAAGAAUGGGGGUUCAGAUUCUGGUCACCCAGAUUAUGGGAGGGGGAGAAGAGGUUUAGCUGGCAAAGGUGGCCUUGCUAUGCAGAUGAACCCUCCCUCAGAGAUAAUUGGUAGUGAAGUCUUUUGUUUUUAAAACAGAGUCUCUGUCACCCAGGUUGGAGUGCAGUGAUGUGAUCUCUGCUCAUUGCAACCUCUGCCUUCCGGGUUCAAGAAAAUCUCCUGCCUCAGUCUCCCAAGUAGCUGGGAUUACAGACCAGGUGCUGAAGAAACCAGCUACCCAGAACACCGAGUGGUGCAGACAAAAAAGACCCAGGAAAGCCUGGCGGAUACAGCGGUGCGUGCUUGCAGUCCAGCUAUCCAGGAGGCUGGGUCGGGAGGAUCGCUUGAGCCCGGGAGUUCAAAUCCUACCUGGGCGACAUAGUAAGACCGCCACCUCUAAACAAACAAACAAACAAAAGACCCAGAGACCCAGGGAAGCUUCACCCCCUUAGCCAAAGGACCAGAGAUGGGGUCUUGCUAUGCUGCUUCAGCUGGUCUUGAAUUCCUGGAUUGCUGGGAGAAAAUCUUGACGUAUGUGUGAUAGAUUGUAUGUUGUUUACUGAGAAACGAUGGCAAGGAACACCAAGCCAUCCCCAGGCAGAAAACUGCUGGAAUAGUUAGCAAUAUAUACCAGUCAUGCACUAGUGAAACUGGUUCCCAAAGCACAGGAUACAUGACCUUGUCACCACUGCUGACUCAGGAAGAGUGCUUUCUAGCUUAUUUCUAUUUUAGUAGUGAACAGUCACUAUCUGCCUGUUUAGUCUAUCUUUAUUAUAUGAAAAAACACUGAACACCUGCUUAUUAAAAAUAAUCACUUGUUCACAAAGAAUAAAUACAUUCAUCAGAGUCUGCUCUGGGCUUUCAACUGGGAAAUGCUGUCAGCCCCCUGACGCCCCUCUCUGAUUUCCACUUUUGCGCUCGAUUUUUGUGUCUGCUUCUUAACUCCUUCAGCGCUGCCUGGGUUGGGGUCUCCAUGACUGAGCUGGUCUGGGUACUGGACUUAAGCAUUCCUCCUGCCUCAGCCUCCCAAAGUGUUAAGGAUUACAAGUGUGAGCCACCACGCCCAGCCACAGAAGGAUUUACUAUGUACAUACAGUGAAAGCAAGGUCAGUAUUGUGUCAUCCCAGAGGAUGACACUGAACCAAAAGACACAAAACCUGCAUGGCGGCUCGCUUUGUCAUGGAUGACAGUCCUCUAAACUACAGCCAAGCCGUUUUAUAAAAUUUCAAUGAAGUCAGCUGGCUGCGGUGGCUCACGCCUAUAGUCCCAGCACUUUGGGAGGCCGAGGUGGGUGGAUUACUUGAGGCCAGGAGUUCGAGACCAGCCUGACCAACAUGGUGAAACCCCAUCUCUACUAAAAAUGCAAAAAAUUAGUUGAGCAUGGUGGUUCGAGCCUGUAGUCCUAGCUGCUUGGGAGGCAGAGACACGAGAAUUGCUUGAACCUGGGAGGUGGAGGUUACAGUGAGCCGAGAUUGUGCUGCUGCACUCUGUCUUUUUUUAAAAAAAAAAAAGAGAGAGAGAAUUAUUCUCAUCUGGGAGGCAGAAAAGAAACAGUUUUAUCGUUCUACUAUAAGGACACAUGCACACGAAUGUUCAUUGCAGCACUGUUUACAAUAGCAAAGACCUGGAACCAACCCAAAUGCCCAUCGAUGAUAGACUGGAUUGGGAAAAUGUGGCGCAUAUACACCAUGGAAUAUUAUGCAGCAAUCAGAAAUGAGGAGUUAGUGUCAUUUGUAGGGACAUGGAUGAAUCUGGAGAACAUCAUCCUCAGCAAACUGACACAAGAACAGAAAAUGAAACACCGCAUAUUCUCACUCAUAGGCGGGUGAUGAAAAAUGAGAACACAUGGACACAGGGAGGGGAGUACUAAA